rnacentral:rRNA from 1 species
GAUUAACGCUAGCGGCAGGCCUAAUACAUGCAAGUCGAACGGUAACAGGUCCAGCAAUGGAUGCUGACGAGUGGCGCACGGGUGCGUAACACGUAUGCAAUCUACCCUUAACUGGGGGGAUAGCCCCGAGAAAUCGGGAUUAAUACCCCCAUAAUAUUACGAGGAGGAGUCUCCUUGUAAUUAAAGCUCCGGCGGUUUUGGAUGAGCAUGCGCGACAUUAGCUAGUUGGUGAGGUAACGGCUCACCAAGGCUUCGAUGUCUAGGGGUUCUGAGAGGAUUCACCCCCACACCUGGUACUGAGACACGGACCAGACUCCUACGGGAGGCAG